CCUUGUACUGGGGGAUAGCAGCUGGAAACGGCUGGUAAUACCGCAUAAGCGCACAAUGUUGCAUGACAUGGUGUGAAAAACUCCGGUGGUAUAAGAUGGACCCGCGUCUGAUUAGCUAGUUGGUGAGAUAACAGCCCACCAAGGCGACGAUCAGUAGCCGACCUGAGAGGGUGACCGGCCACAUUGGGACUGAGACACGGCCCAGACUCCUACGGGAGGCAGCAGUGGGGAAUAUUGCACAAUGGAGGAAACUCUGAUGCAGCGACGCCGCGUGAGUGAAGAAGUAAUUCGUUAUGUAAAGCUCUAUCAGCAGGGAAGAUAGUGACGGUACCUGACUAAGAAGCUCCGGCUAAAUACGUGCCAGCAGCCGCGGUAAUACGUAUGGAGCAAGCGUUAUCCGGAUUUACUGGGUGUAAAGGGAGUGUAGGUGGCCAUGCAAGUCAGAAGUGAAAAUCCGGGGCUCAACCCCGGAACUGCUUUUGAAACUGUAAGGCUGGAGUGCAGGAGGGGUGAGUGGAAUUCCUAGUGUAGCGGUGAAAUGCGUAGAUAUUAGGAGGAACACCAGUGGCGAAGGCGGCUCACUGGACUGUAACUGACACUGAGGCUCGAAAGCGUGGGGAGCAAACAGGAUUAGAUA
rnacentral:rRNA from 1 species